rnacentral:rRNA from 1 species
UACGUAGGGUGCGAGCGUUAAUCGGAAUUACUGGGCGUAAAGCGUACGCAGGCGGCUUUGCAAGACAGGUGUGAAAUCCCCGGGCCUAACCUGGGAACUGCAUUUGUGACUGCAUGGCUAGAGUUUGUCAGAGGGGGGUGGAAUUCCACGUGUAGCAGUGAAAUGCGUAGAUAUCAGGAGGAAUACCGAUGGCGAAGGCAGGUCUCUGGGCUAUAACUGACGCUCAUGCACGAAAGCGUGGGGAGCAAACAGG